rnacentral:lncRNA from 1 species
AUGAACUCAAAGGAACGUGAAGAAAUAGAUAAGAAGGAGGGGAAAGUAGCCUGGAUACUGCUUCUCUUAAAAGCUGCCUUCCAGAGCCUUAGAAGUAUAUGCAAAUCACAUGCAAAUCUCACACAUAUUUAUCAGCAGCCCUCCUUGGGAAGUCUGCUUGGAUGUGGCCCUGGGGGAAAAUUUGGGUGGAGGUCACUGAAUUCCAGGGAGUUUGCUGUGAGAACCAGGGAGAACAGCUGUGCAACAGUGAGCCAGUUACCAGCCUCGGGUUCCUCUUCUGUAAUACGGGUUAGUAACAGUCUCUCCCUCACAGAGCUCCUGGGAAGAUGAGGGGAGAGAAGGUGCUUGGUGAGCGUGAGUCUGGGGUCUUCAGAACUGUUCUAGCCAUUCCUACCCUUCAUAGCCCAGCUGGGAAAUCUGUGCUGUACACGCUCUGUUUCAUUUAAUCCCAGUGAGCUCGGGCUGCUGAGUGUGGAGCCGCUCUUAUUACUCCCAGUUUACAGAUGAGGAUGCUGGAGUCCUGUGAGGUACAAGAGCUAGGACAGCGUCAGUUUCGCAUUCAGACCUGGGCUGUUUCUCUUGAUGCUCUCCAACCUCCUCUCGGAACGUUAGAUCUGGUGGGUCUCUGAGAUGGGUAACUCUUCGUUUUGUUAUAGUGAACUCCAAGUUUCUCUUCAAAGGAUCAGUAUGUCAGUAUGUUCAACUCUCUUAUUCGUUAUUCUCUAUUUUAAAGUUUAACUUCCUUGUAAUUCCAGUAUACGACCUUCUACACCAGUUCUAAUUAGUAGUUCACAUCUGUCCCCCCUCCCCUGGUUCCAUCCUGACUCAUCCUGGUCACCUGAUCACCCCUGGCUACCUGCUCAGACAAGCUGUAACCAUCCUUCCCACCAAAACACCCACCCUGCCACUCCAGCUCAGACCCCUGCUUUUUAAAAAACAGCCAAUCGGGAUUAGUCUAGCUUGUGCCAUCUAACCCUAGCCAAUAGGGGAUGACACAGCAGUAGGGACGACUCCCAUCAGGCAUAAGUACCCCUUCCCUGCUUGUCCAAGCGUGUGAUCACCAUUGCUCCAUCUGUGCUCUGCACCCUUCUCUAGAAGUAAACUGCCUUGCUGGGAGGGUUCAUCUUCAAGUGCUAUUUCUUUUGCAGCAUUGAAAUUUUACUUAUAAAAAUUCAAUAAAUGAAGCCCAGAGAGGUUGAGGGACUUGCCUAAGGUCACACAGCCAGUUAGAGGCAGAGCUGGAGCUUGACCAAGGGUCCUGGCUGGAGGUCCUGCUCACUUUCCUGCACAGCAUAUAAGACCUCCCCUCCCAGGCAGCUUGACCACUGAGGGGGCUCUGCUUCCCCUUGUCUGUCUUGUGGCGCUGACUGCCCAGGGUGGCGGCUGGGUGCCUCUGGAACUCCUCUCAGCUGGGAUCUGGGGGAGUGCUGCCUGCUAGGGGAUUUGGGGGACUUCCUGACUUCUGCUCACCUCCUCUGCCACGCCCCCUCCGCCUCCACCUGUGUCUCUCCCGCCCCUGCUCAUCAGCUGUCCCUUCCCCUUUCCCACUCCAAGGCUGUCAGUGUUUGGGGGAGAUUAUGCAGUGUUGACAUUGGAAUAUGAAUUAGACGAGAGCAGCAGCCAAAUAUUGGUAUUAGGGAAGGCAGAAGCCCAGGCAGGGAUCCAAGAGUGGCUGGAACAUCUGUGUCUUGGCUGUUCCAGAUGCCCGACCCUGCGCCCACCUGAAAACGAUGGGUCGCAGAGCCACAGAUGAGCUCUGGUGCAGCCAAGGCUUGGUCCUUGACUUGCCAGGCGAGCCCACAGCUAAGUCCCACAGAGCUUGGCCCCAUCAGCUUGCCAUAUUCUGAGGCCCAGGAAAAGGCAGUUGCUUCUGUUGUGAGUUGACAGACGGAGGCAAGACGCUGCCCAAGGAUGCACCCUUCAUUUAAUUGUCUGAAAUCCCAUCUCUAGUGCUUGUGCAGGCCAGCAUUUGCCAAAAUGUGUUCCACAGAUCCCAAGUUCUAAAGGCUGUUAAUAAGUUUUGUGUAAAAGGGGGUUCCACGGCCAUGUACUUGGGAGAGGUGUUAAACAGAGC